rnacentral:lncRNA from 1 species
CUACACCACAACACACACAGACCACCUACACCACAACACACACAGACCUACACCACAACACACACAGACCACCUACACCACAUCACAAAGACUAGAUUUUCUAUCUGAACCUUCUGCAACCUUGCUGAACAGGUUUCAGGUAGAAACCUCCACCAGAAAAAUGUCUUCCCAUUUCGGCAUGUCUACGAGAAUCUGACAGCCUCCCAAGACCUCGUGCUCUUGCUCCUAUGUCUGGGUUUCUGAGACUAGUAAAUCCAGCCAGUAGGCCCUACCAGUGUCUCACUACAUCCAGCCAGUAGGCCCCUACCAGUCUCUCACUACAUCCAGCCAGUAGGCCCCUACCAGUCUCUCACCACAUCCAGCCAGUAGGCCCCUACCAGUCUCUCACUACAUCCAGCCAGUAGGCUCCUACCAGUCUCUCACCACAUCCAGCCAGUAGGUCCCUACCAGUCUCUCACUACAUCCAGCCAGUAGGCCCCUACCAGUCUCUCACUACAUCCAGCCAGUAGGCCCCUACCAGUCUCUCACUACAUCCAGCCAGUAGGCCCCUACCAGUCUCUCACCACAUCCAGCCAGUAGGCCCCUACCAGUCUCUCACUACAUCCAGCCAGUAGGCCCCUACCAGUCUCUCACUUCAUUAGUAAAUCUUUGUCAAAUCUGUCAUGAUUUAUGUGAAGAGGCCCACAAUGUGGAUACUAAAAUCUCAGUUGGAUUGUUGGCUGUUUUCACUGCAUAAUAUUUCAAAGUUGUCCUUUUUGGGUUUAGAAAAAGUGUCUGCUAAUCUUACUCCCGUUCUGAUAAGCUGGUAUACCUAGCCAUAUAAAAAUGACUGGUGGCAGUUAAAGUAAUUUUUAGGCAUAAGCCUAAUGCAGUUGAUUGGUGAUGAUGAAAUGAACGUAUUGGGGUUGACAUUCAAACAAGCAUUAUACUGUGAUUUUUACCCCCAACAUGUUAGUGAAAUACACAAACAAUUGCCUAAAUGUAGGCUAAUUUUGAUGGGCGGCCCUGAGGAGAUUCUUGAUCGGUACCACACGGGUAGUCUGGAAAACCCGACCCUAGGGAACAGAGUGACUAGAGUCUGGUUUCAAUUAUGGACUCUUUUCAUAGAGGAACUACCUACGACACUUCUUUAUGCUCUUGAAUAAAAACAACAUUUUAGCUAACAAGAUGGAGAUCACACAGCUUAUUUUUAAUGAGUGCAUUUCGCAAAUGGCUAGUUUCCAUUAAUUACCUUAACUAAAACCACUGCAAAGGUUUUGCCUGAAAACAUUGGUUUUGAAUAGCGAUGUUCUGGAAUGUCUGCAUCGUGUUGGGAGAGUCCCCAGAAUUUAUUUUUGAG